GUCAUUUCUCUGUUGAAUUACAAACGAUUCGAAAUAAAAUCAAAUAAGCAAAUUAUUAUUGUAAGUAAAUGUUUCGUUUGUUGGCCGGAACUGAGCCAGAAUUAUCCUCCGGCAAUCUUCAAGAGCCCUUAAGUUUACGGGAUGAGCUCCGCUUCCGUAGACUUGGCUUACAUCAUCAUUCUCCCACGGACUUCCUACGUUCGCAAUGGCAGUCUGGGCCAAAAUCUUCUAUUUUCUUGGCUUACCGAUGGGCAUUAGGCGGAUUCUUCGGUGCCGGCGUGGUCGGUUGUAUUUCUGAGUACUACAACAACGGAAAUUUUUUUAUAUUCUUGACCAACUGGGGAUUUGUGUUGUGUGGCGUUACCAGUAUUGCCGGAGCAAUACUUGUGACUUUCUAUCACUACAAGCCGGAAACCUGGGUUCCCCCGAGUUGCUUGAUUAAGGUUUAUUGGGCUUGCUAUUGGACUAACAUCACAUUGGCGUGCGUAAUUGCAUUCGCCUAUUGGACAGCUAUAUAUCCCAAGGAUCGGGUGUUAACUAAUCCGACUCGGGUUUCCGAUUUGUAUAACAUAUGGACUCACUUGCUGCCACCUAUUUUCUUCACCAUCGAUAACUUUCUGGUGGCGCAACCAGCCCGACUUCUUCACUUUGUAUAUCCACUGGCAUUCCUCCAUACUUACGGAAUAUUCGCAAUACUAUUCUAUGCCCUGGGCGGUCGUAACUUAGACGGAAAACACUAUAUAUAUCCGUUUUUGAAUUUUGCUAGGCCAAAGAUAGUUUUAAAAACCGUAACAUAUCUCAGUAUAGUUCUGGUGUCCUUGUCCAGUCUCGAAUAUGGAGUCUACCGACUACGCAAUUUCAUAGCACGCAAGCUGGGAUAUCUUUAGUGAUGGUUUUGAUGCUGUGCUGCCAUUCUUAUAACUGCAUUAAAGUCAUGCGUGCACAAUCUUCAGAAACAAGCAUACAGACAGAAAAAUGGGUAGUUUGCAGAAAAUAUUAGCGUUCCGACUACGAGACACCCUCUGAAAAGGCUAAACACGAUAUACUUCAUUUGUUCACACGAACUGGGUACUAUCAGAGAUACAGAACAAGCAGAGAUAUCAAAACAAAUUUUGCUUAUUUGUCCUCUGAUAUGUCGGACUUGUUUUGUUGUUUACGCCGCUUGCACGUGUCUGGAAAAUUAAAAGCUCUGCUGCUGCAA
rnacentral:misc_RNA from 1 species